rnacentral:rRNA from 1 species
GAUGAACGCUGGCGGCGUGCCUAAUACAUGCAAGUCGAGCGAACGGACGAGAAGCUUGCUUUUCUGAUGUUAGCGGCGGACGGGUGAGUAACACGUGGAUAACCUACCUAUAAGACUGGGAUAACUUCGGGAAACCGGCGCUCAUACCGGAUAAUAUUUUGAACCGCAUGGUUCAAAAGUGAAAGACGGUCUUGCUGUCACUUAUAGAUGGAUCCAGGCUUCAUUAGCUAGUUGGUAAGGUAACGGCAUACCAAGGCAACGGUGGAUAGCCGACCUCAGAGGGUGAACGAGCAGACGGGAACUGAGACACGGUCCAGACUCCUACGGGAGGCAGCAGUAGGGAAUCUUACGCGAUGGGCGAAAGCCUGACGGAGCAACGCCGCGUGAAUGAUGAAGGUCUUCGGAUCGUAGAGCUCUGUUAGUAGGGGAGAAGAUAUGUGUAAGUGACUGUGCACAUCUUGACGGUACCUAAUCAGAAAGCCACGGCUAACUACGUG